rnacentral:snoRNA from 1 species
UGCCCCAUUCUCAAGGAGAAUAGGCACUGUUGAUCAUGCCAUCCCGAGAUUGUUAAUGCGGCUACAUUGAGAAACACUGGUGACAAUGAGACCUGUAACAUUU